UCUGUCCAGAACUUUCGUUGUGGAAGGAUGUGCGGGAGUGAUGCGCGAUUUCUUGUGUCCCCUACUUUCCUUGUUUACGUUUUGCGCAGUGUUGCUUCUUAUUCCAUUGUGGAAUGAUUUAUCCUAGAUAACUUGUUGAGUUACAGGUGCAUGCGCCAUUCAUCAACGCCUACGUGUUGGCAUCAUCAACAAUCUUCAAAGUGGGUGACGGAAAGAAAUUGUUUUCCAGUUUUAAAAUAUUAAGCGUUCAGCACAACUCAGCCACAAAACAACGCACUGGAUUGCGCUAAGAACCUGUCGAAACGCGCGCAGCCCCCGGGAGCGGUAGGAGAAAGGAAGAACAAGAGGAGGAAAAACUAAAGCCAGCGCGCAGCUCUGAUGGUACCCCGUACGCGGUAAGAAGAAAAAAGAUCGAGAGGAGUGUUAGAAACUAACAAAGAAACCGAAUUUUUUAGGCUUAGGCGUGGUGCCAAAAAAUUAGUUUUUAUUUUAGGCGUUUUGUGGCUUGUUCUCUCGGUGAGUUCGUUUUACUGAAAGGGCAGAAACUGCCGUUCGUUCCCUAUUUAAGCUAUUUUUGUCCUAUCCGCGAUGCGCUUAGCUGACAGUUUGGCGGAACCCUACAACGGUUACAACAAGGAGGAAGAACGGUAAAUUUGGAAGGGGGAGACCGUUCUGUCGUCUACACAGUGUGAGUAUGCCAAAGCACGUGUUGGAAGGGAGAGAAAAAGUUGGAAUAAACCGCAUGUGAAUGUGUGCAUACAGCAAAAGUAAAAAUGUGUGCCUCAUCAUUUCUAUAAGCAGUCCGAAAAGGGGGUGGAGCAAACACAUUGGUAUGCGUGAGGUGCAGAAGAAAUCAGAGCGUGAUAGUAUGUGUGAACGCGAUCGUUCGGGUGGAAGGUGUCUAUGUGUGCGUGAAACCACAUUUCCACUUAUACUGCAAGUGGGUACGUAAGUGGGUACAUAUGAGUACAAGACGAUCCCAUACAAAACUUUUGGCUUUUUGCGGACUGGGUGGACAGUGAAUUCUUUUUCAAAAUGGAGCAUACUUGCAACUCUUGCGCAACCGAGAUCACCGAAGACCUGAUUAGCUGUUAUAUUUGCAACUCACCGUUCCACAUCCGCUGUUCACGCAUUCCUGAGGAUGCACUGAAGCUAACCAACGAAUACCAACAACUCCACUGGUACUGCCUACGUUCAACAAUGUGAUUAUUAAUCCUCGCACUAAAUACAUCAAACAAGCUUUGGCCUAGUCGAGCAUACACACAACAAUGGAUGCCGUCGUCAAUAGUCUCAAAUCUGCACUUGAACCUCUAGCAAAAGAAAUUCGUACUGGUCUAUCGCAGCUUAAUGAUUCGCAGAAGAGAACACCACUGAGCAGUCACCCUCCUGCCAAAUUACGCAGAGUUUUACCAGCGAAGAGAUCAUUCUCCGAAUCGACGUCAUUGCAUUUAGCUUGAUGGGCAAAAAUUUCGACACCACUUUGGCUAAACCGAUGUCGUUUACGGUUCGCAUCCCGACUCAUCUUCGUGAAACUGCGUUAUCGUCUUCGGUUUGGCCUUCUAAUCAACGUGUACGUGAAUUUAUUCUACGUGAUAACCGUCCAGCCUCAUCCCAUCCUUUGGCUUGUCCCACACCGAUGAAUGCACAUGAAACCCCACUGUAGGGAUUAUAAGGUAUGGGAGGAAGAGAUUGAGAGAGAAAAAGAGAAAAAAAGAGAUAAAUGGAUAGUUGUAUCAACAGCGAGAGAAGGACAAGGAAUAGAAUUGAAGAAAAUAAAUCGUCAGUUGAGUUAGAACUGUCAGCUGGAACACAUAUACUGUGAGUGCGUGGCGUAUUAAUGAGAUCCGAAAAGCGUAUUUCCUCCUCCGGUCACUACAAUGGCGCAGUUAGGAGGGAUACGAAUCAGUAUUGCGGAAGACAUACGCAUUGGUAAAAUGAGUGAAUCAAUCUGUGCGUCACGGGUGAGUAGCUCUGGCAUUUUGGAUUGGAUGAUAUGUAUUGAUAUAGAUUAAAAAGAGCAGACUCACGCACAUUUCUUCAUGGGAACGAUGUAAGUAUUAAUAACUAGUACAGCACAUUCCUACGGGGAUCGAUGCAAACAUGAAUACACACACCUAUAAACAGGAUGCGCAUGCACGGACAGACGGAUUCACACACAUUCCUUUAUGUUUAUGUUUAUGUUUAUGUUUAUUUGUCUAUCGAUGGACAAUAAUGCCCUCUCGAACCAUUUUUGCAAUGUUUUACAAUGAGUUCUUUACAAUGGAUUACAAUAACAUAGAACAUAAAAAUGUGCACUAUGGAACCAAGUUUAACACAGAAACACGAUCAUUAAACUCAGUUGGCGAAAUCCUCGGCUCAAAAGCGUCGCUGACUGCGUUGAAAGCACGGCACAUGAGUAGGAACGGGUCAGAGGAGCCAAAUUGCGUUCUACGGUCGUCGAGGGCCAACAUUGCCCGAGUCCGGAGCGGCCUGGCCGGAACGUACAGGUUGAUGGCAGCCAGUAGUGACGGAGAGUCAAUACGGCCGUCGAGAAGUCCCGUGAUGAACGACAACCUGGCUUUUCGUAUACGCUCACUUAGGGUGGGUAGCCCGAGUAGUAAACACCUAGUCCGGUAAUCGAGCCUUUGGUUCCAUGAGCGAAGUGCAAAUCGUGAAAUUUUGCGCUGGAUUGAUUCCAAUCGAGCUAACGGACGCGCUGCAGUUGGCCACCAUACGAUAUUUGCAUAUUCCAUCAACGACCGGAUAAGUGAGCAAUAGAGCGCCUUG